AGGGCACCACCAGGAGUGGAGCCUGCGGCUUAAUUUGACUCAACACGGGAAAACUUACCUGGUCAGGACACUGGAAGGAUUGACAGAUUGAGAGCUCUUUCUUGAUUCAGUGGGUGGUGGUGCAUGGCCGUUCUUAGUUGGUGGAGCGAUUUGUCUGGUUAAUUCCGAUAACGAACGAGACUCUAGCCUACUAAAUAGACUGCUCAACUUUAUAGCUGUAUCACCUUGCAGUUGCUUCGGUGGCUGUAAGGCUAUGGUGACGUUGGCAGUGCUUCUUGGAGGGACAGGCGGCGGUUCAGCCGCACGAAACAGAGCAAUAACAGGUCUGUGAUGCCCUUAGAUGUCCAGGGCCGCACGCGCGCUACACUGAAGUGAUCAGCGUGCAAUUAACGUUUCCUACUCCGUCAGGAGUGGGUAACCCGUUGAACCUUCUUCGUGAUUGGGAUAGGGGAUUGUAAUUAUUCCCCUUGAACGAGGAAUUCCCAGUAAGCGCAAGUCAUAAGCUUGCGUUGAUUACGU
rnacentral:rRNA from 1 species